rnacentral:lncRNA from 1 species
AAAAUUUGUUACUUUCGGUCAGAAUUAUGUUGUUAAGUGGGGACAAAGUCAUGUUUCUACACUCCACUCUGGCGAAGAAGUUGAUCUCUACAUCGAUCAAUCUUCAGGUUCGUAUCUCUUUAUUUUUCUUAUAUAAAGACACAAAGAAAAAAUUUGUAUAAUCCAUUAGGAUUUCUGAAUAGGGUUUGGCUUCUACAUGAAACAGGUGGUGGCUUCGAAUCCAAGGACAGCUACGGAUCAGGUCUCUUUGAAAUGAGAAUCAAAGUGCCUGGAGGAAAUACUGGCGGCAUCGUCACCGCGUUUUACGUUUGUAUUCUUGACUAUAUACAUAUAUACGUAGACUAAUUCAAAACUCAUAUUGAUAAGUUGUCUAUAUAUGUGAAUAAUUACAGUUGACGUCGAAAGGAGGUGGUCACGACGAGAUUGACUUCGAGUUUCUAGGGAACAACAAUGGAAAACCGGUAACGUUACAGACAAAUCUGUUUCUGAAUGGAGAAGGAAACAGAGAAGAGAGGUUUUUGCUUUGGUUCAAUCCAACCAAACACUACCACACUUAUGGGCUUCUUUGGAACCCUUACCAAAUUGUGUACGUUUGAUCACAAUCCUUCUUCUUAUUUUUUAUCUUCUCUAUUCAUUUCAUGACAAAUAGUGAUAAUAUUUUGUUUGUUGCAACCAUAAUUUGAUAUUUUGAAACAAAACAGAAUUCCAAAACAUUUGACAAUCUGAUAUGGGUGAAAUAUAUUUUGGUCAUUUAGCAAUCUAUAUGUAUAUAUUCAACUUAAAAAUUCCCCCAUUGUCAUUUUUGUUAAUUGAGUCUCAAAUUUAGUCAUUUGGUGCAUACAUUCUCUACAAUCAAAUAGAUGAAAUGAUGAUUGAUAGGUUUUACGUGGACAACAUCCCAAUAAGAGUAUACAAAAACGAAAACGGUGUAAGCUAUCCAUCAAGGCCUAUGCAAGUCGAGGCUAGUCUCUGGAACGGUGACGAUUGGGCGACUGAUGGUGGUCGGACUAAGGUUAACUGGUCAUACUCUCCUUUCAUUGCCCAUUUCCGAGACUUCGCCUUAUCCGGUUGCAACAUAGAUGGUCGGAGUAAUAAUGUGGGCGCUUGUGAAUCCUCCAACUACUGGUGGAAUGCAGGCAAGUAUCAAAGAUUAAGCGGAAACGAACAGAAACUUUAUGAGCAUGUGAGGAGCAAGUACAUGAACUAUGACUAUUGUACUGACCGGUCUAAGUACCAAACUCCUCCUAGAGAAUGUUAUUGAAAUAACAUAACGUUAAUUAAUGAUCAUAUAUGUACAGGGGAUCUU